AUACGGAGGGUGCAAGCGUUACUCGGAAUCACUGGGCGUAAAGCGCGCGCAGGCGGGCUGAUAAGUUGGAUGUGAAAGCCUACGGCUCAACCGUAGAACUGCAUCCAAAACUGUCAGUCUAGAGUCUGGGAGGGGAAGAUGGAAUUAGUUGUGUAGGGGUAAAAUCCGUAGAGAUAACUAGGAAUACCAAAAGCGAAGGCAAUCUUCUGGAACACUGCUGACGCUGAGGCGCGAAAGCGUGGGGAGCAAACAGGAUUAGAAACCCUAGUAGUCC
rnacentral:rRNA from 1 species